rnacentral:rRNA from 1 species
CCUACGGGUGGCAGCAGUGAGGAAUAUUGGUCAAUGGACGAGAGUCUGAACCAGCCAAGUAGCGUGAAGGAUGACUGCCCUAUGGGUUGUAAACUUCUUUUAUAUGGGAAUAAAAUGUUCCACGUGUGGGAUUUUGUAUGUACCAUAUGAAUAAGGAUCGGCUAACUCCGUGCCAGCAGCCGCGGUAAUACGGAGGAGCCGAGCGUUAUCCGGAUUUAUUGGGUUUAAAGGGAGCGUAGGUGGAUUGUUAAGUCAGUUGUGAAAGUUUGCGGAUCAACCGUAAAAUUGCAGUUGAAACUGGCAGUCUUGAGUACAGUAGAGGUGGGCGGAAUGCGUGGUGUAGCGGUGAAAUGCUUAGAUAUCACGAAGAACUCCGAUUGCGAAGGCAGUUCACUGGACUGCAACUGACACUGAGGCUCGAAAGUGUGGGUAUCAAACAGGAUUAGAUACCCUUGUAGUC